rnacentral:rRNA from 1 species
GAUGAACGCUGGCGGCGUGCCUAAUACAUGCAAGUCGAGCGAACAGACGAGGAGCUUGCUCCUUCGACGUUAGCGGCGGACGGGUGAGUAACACGUAGGUAACCUACCUAUAAGACUGGGGUAACUUCGGGAAACCGGAGCUAAUACCGGAUAAUAUUUCGAACCGCAUGGUUCGAUAGUGAAAGAUGGCUUUGCUAUCACUUAUAGAUGGACCUGCGCCGUAUUAGCUAGUUGGUAAGGUAACGGCUUACCAAGGCAACGAUACGUAGCCGACCUGGGAGGGUGAUCGGCCACACUGGAACUGAGACACGGUCCAGACUCCUACGGGAGGCAGCGGUAGGGAAUCUUCCGCAAUGGGCGAAAGCCUGACGGAGCAACGCCGCGUGAGUGAUGAAGGUCUUCGGAUCGUAAAACUCUGUUAUUAGGGAAGAACAAACGUGUAAGUAACUGUGCACGUCUUGACGGUACCUAAUCAGAAAGCCACGGCUAACUACGUG